GACGAACGCUGGCGGCGUGCUUAACACAUGCAAGUCGAACGGUGAAGCGCCUUCCUUUUUGGUGGGUGUGGAUGAGUGGCGAACGGGUGAGUAACACGUGAGUAACCUGCCCCCUUCUUCUGGAUAACCGCAUGAAAGUGUGGCUAAUACGGGAUAUUCUGGGUCUGUCGCAUGAUGGGUCUGGGAAAGAUAUUGUUUCGGUGGGGGAUGGGCUCGCGGCCUAUCAGCUUGUUGGUGGGGUGAUGGCCUACCAAGGCGGUGACGGGUAGCCGGCCUGAGAGGGUGGACGGUCACACUGGGACUGAGACACGGCCCAGACUCCUACGGGAGGCAGCAGUGGGGAAUAUUGCACAAUGGGCGCAAGCCUGAUGCAGCGACGCCGCGUGAGGGAUGGAGGCCUGCGGGUUGUGAACCUCUUUCGCCAGUGAAGCAGGCCUGCCUCGUUAGUGGGUGGGUUGACGGUAGCUGGAUAAGAAGCGCCGGCUAACUACGUG
rnacentral:rRNA from 1 species